rnacentral:rRNA from 1 species
AUAUUAUUAAGCGGAGGAGAAGAAACUAACCAGGAUUCCCCUAGUAACGGCGAGUGAAGCGGGAAUAGCUCAACCUAAAAUCGGGGUUCCAAGCGGGACUUCGAAUUGUGGGCUAGAGACGCAGCAUCAGCGAGCGACCUGGGCCUAAAUCUUUUGGAAUAAGGUAUCAGAGAGGGUGAGAAUCCCGUCUUUGACCUGGAGUUCGCCGCGUACGAUAUGCGUUCAUAGAGUCGAAUAGCUUGGGAAUGCUGUUCUAAUCUGGUGGUAAAUUCCAUCUAAAGCUAAAUAUUGACGAGAGACCGAUAGCGCACAAGUA